rnacentral:rRNA from 1 species
AUUGAACGCUGGCGGCAGGCCUAACACAUGCAAGUCGAACGAGUAGAGGACGGGUGAGUAAUUUCUGGGAAACUGACUGAUGGAGGGGGAUAACUACGGGAAAACGUAGAUAAUACUGCAUACCAUAGGAUGUGCCCAGAUGGGAUUAGCUAGUAGGUGGGGUAACGGCUCACCUAGUCGACGAUCCCUAGCUGGGCUGAGAGGAUGACCAGCCACACUGGAACUGAGACACGGUCCAGACUCCUACGGGAGGCAGCAGUGGGGAAUAUUGCACAAUGGGCGCAAGCCUGAUGCAGCCAUGCCGCGUGGAUGAAGAAGGCCGUCGGGUUGUAAAGUACUUUCAGCGAGGAUGCGUUACUCGAAGAAGAAGCACCGGCUAACUCCGUGCCAGCAGCCGCGGUAAUUC